AGAGGGUGCAAGCGUUAAUCGGAUUUACUGGGCGUAAAGCGUGCGUAGGUGGCUAUUUAAGUCGGAUGUGAAAGCCCUGGGCUUAACCUGGGAACUGCAUUCGAUACUGGGUGGCUAGAGAUCGGUAGAGGGCAGCGGAAUUCCGGGUGUAGCGGUGAAAUGCGUAGAUAUCCGGAGGAACACCGAUGGCGAAGGCAACUGCCUGGGCCUGAUCUGACACUGAGGCACGAAAGCGUGGGUAGCAAACAGGAUUAGAUACCCUGGUAGUCCACGCUGUAAACGAUGAGAACUUGACGUCUGCUUGCUAUGCGAGUAGGUGUCGUAGCUAACGCGAUAAGUUCUCCGCCUGGGGAGUACGGCCGCAAGGUUGA
rnacentral:rRNA from 1 species